rnacentral:sRNA from 1 species
GCUGGGCAUGGUGUGCAUGCCUGUAAUCCCAGGGACUUGGGAGGCUGAGACAGGAGGAUUGCAAAUUCAAAACCAGCCUCAGCAAUUUAGCUUGCAAAGCUCUAAGAAAUUCAGUGAGAUACUGUCUCAA